CUUAAAGUGAAGAGUUUUAUCAUGGCUCAGAUUGAACGCUGGCGGCAGGCCUAACACAAGCAAGUCGAGCGGAAACGAGUUAUCUGAACC
rnacentral:rRNA from 1 species